rnacentral:rRNA from 1 species
AAUAGAUACCCCGGUAGUCCACGCCGUAAACGAUGAGUGCUAAGUGUUAGGGGGUUUCCGCCCCUUAGUGCUGCAGCUAACGCAUUAAGCACUCCGCCUGGGGAGUACGGUCGCAAGACUGAAACUCAAAGGAAUUGACGGGGGCCCGCACAAGCGGUGGAGCAUGUGGUUUAAUUCGAAGCAACGCGAAGAACCUUACCAGGUCUUGACAUCCCAUUGACCACUAUGGAGACAUAGUUUUCCCUUCGGGGACAACGGUGACAGGUGGUGCAUGGUUGUCGUCAGCUCGUGUCGUGAGAUGUUGGGUUAAGUCCCGCAACGAGCGCAACCCUUGUUCUUAGUUGCCAUCAUUUAGUUGGGCACUCUAAGGAGACUGCCGGUGACAAACCGGAGGAAGGUGGGGAUGACGUCAAAUCAUCAUGCCCCUUAUGACCUGGGCUACACACGUGCUACAAUGGACGGUACAAACGGUUGCCAACCCGCGAGGGGGAGCUAAUCCGAUAAAACCGUUCUCAGUUCGGAUUGUAGGCUGCAACUCGCCUACAUGAAGGCC